rnacentral:rRNA from 1 species
CACCUACGGGAGGCAGCAGUGGGGGAUAUUGGACAAUGGGGGAAACUCUGACGCAGUGACGCCGCGUAUAGGAAGAAGGUUUUCGGAUUGUAAACUAUUGUCGUGAGGGAAGAAAUUGACAGUACCUCAGGAGGAAGCUCGGGCUAACUAUGUGCCAGCAGCCGCGGUAAUACAUAGGGAGCAAGCGUUAUCCGGAUUUAUUGGGUGUAAAGGGUGCGUAGACGGGAAAUUAAGUUAGCUGUGAAAUCCCUCGGCUUAACUGAGGAACUGCAACUAAAACUGGUUUUCUUGAGUACUGGAGAGGA